GGGCGUGCAAGUGUGUGAGUGUGCUGCAGUCACAGCAGCGUGUCAGCAGCAGCAGCGAUGGAAAAGAGAGAAUGAGGAUGAGCGCAGUGCCGUAGCGGAGGAAGCGACCGCGCGGUGUAGUGUGACUAGAAAAAUAAGAACCAAGCAGCGUGUCGUGAGUGAGUGCUUGGGUCUGUUCUGGUUUUUUUUUAUAGCCAGUAAUCAUGCUGAUUCCUGGGGAGAUAUCGCGCUGCUUGGUGGACGGUGGAAGACGCACAAAAAAAACAGUUGACUGCGAAAUAACAUGCGCGAGUUGGACGUUUUUCUGUUUUGAAUCGAGAGGGAGAGUACAGAGCAUCAUCCCGUGCGGGUCGAAGGCGGGGGUGGUUCAGCACGACGACGGUCGGCCGCGGCACAGCCAGAUGACAAAUACAGUGCCAAACCGGGUGCCAGUUCAUCACCAGAAGUCCUUGCGAAACGAAUCGUGCGGAAGAGCAGCAGCUCGCGGACUGUGUGUGCACCGGGAAGCGCAGGACAGGAAUGGCGCUGCUGUGGAAGAAGGAAACGGCGGUCGUGACUCGCGCGAAGAAGGAGGCAAAAUUAGUGACAAUUAUGGUGGCAUCUUCUUGGCAGUUCGCCGGACAAAAAGUGGCAAAUUCCGCGAGGGCUUCGACAGAAGUGGCGCCACUAGCGUGCGCGUUGGGCCACUGUCGCCAUCCGGUGGAGAAAGUUGCAAACUUCGGCGCCGCAAGGAGAAGACGAAGAAGAGACGGCAGCUGCAUUCAGACGGAGUGUCUUAUCUGAAGAACGAUUGGCGGCGGUCUGGUGACCACGAUAAGAGCGCCACCGUCAAGUGAAAGCGACGAAUGAUGAGUCACAGGACGUUUCGUCCAGAUAUCUUCACCCAGUCAGUUGUCGUAACCGCGAAUGCUCUCUAACGGCGGGCACGUGUGAGUGGUUUUCCAGUGAAGUGUUGAUAAGGAACUACGGUGGUGGCUACUGAGUGCGGACGAUGAGUGAGACUCCCUGUCUGAUAAGAGUGUGGCGCGGCUCAGGAAGGUCUGAUCUGACAAGUGAAUGACUUGUUCAAGUGACAGCAAAACAUCGAGGCUCGGCUUUUGAAGCUACGGCGCGAAGCAAAAGACGUUCGCACCGGGUGGACGGUUUCUGGUUGGAGCUUGGAUCGCGUGUACACUUGGCUCACUGCUGUUGCUGCUGCGGUGGCGACGGCAACUGCAGUGUGAUGCCGGGCCAGAAAGAGAGCGCCGAGUCGACCUCCGGACCCCUCGAGAACCGGACCGGAGUGCGGUGGAGCCUUUCGUGCAGUCAACGUCGUUUUUGCUGUGGCAGUUGCUCGGUGGAGCGCAGCAAGUGUGGAUCGUGGAACAGAACCACAAUCAAGAACUCUAUCUAUUGCCAACCCUGUGCGCUUGUUACAGCCCUGCUGUUACAACACACGAAACUGUGUGUGCCAAACGUCACACGUCGCUGUCGUCACUCGCAGAAAGGAAAAUACCACAGUGCAAAAAGUGAAAAAUAAGCAAAGCAAAUCGAAAAUCAGUGUCGGAGCAACUAGCAUUGGACGGUUUAGCGGAAACGGUAAUCUGCACAGCGAAGAAACGAGAAUCGUGAUAGUCGUGAGUUCCUGCCGAAUCGCGAAACCGCCUACUGAGGAACCGCGCUCGAAAUGACAAUCCAUUACUGUGUGCAAUCGAUCAAAGUGCUCUGUGACUGAGAUGUGCGUGUGCUGUGAUAAUUUCGGUGCUCGGCCUUCUGGGAUUAUCCAAUGUGACGGCUUCCAGUCUAGUAUCCAGCAAGCUGAUUAAUCGCUGAAAACCUCUCCAACCACGAAACCCUCAAAACUCCGCACAUCGCAAAAACCCUCCAAGGAAUCAAAAAAGAUCUGAUGUUUACCGUCCUUUGUCAAACAGGUAUGUUUUCGAAAAACACUCGAUCAACGCAACUUUGUUUACAUUUCACUUCCAAAGACGAUAAAAUCUUCCAAACAAUUUACGACUGCACGAAUGGCUUUGCUUACGAUCGGUCCACACAACACAACGCACGAACAAAGACAAACUUUACCGUAUCUUUGCAGCUCGGGUGCAGCUCGGGCUCCACCUCUCGUGUAACGGUCUCAUGGUGGCGGAGAAACUUUUCUCCAUUUCUCGGCCACUAACUUAUUGUUUAUUCAAACUCUCACGCAUAUGCUUUCCGAUGGGUUGCUCGGAUGGCAUCCACCCACUCGCGCGCGCCUUAAACGGCGACCAAACUUUUCAAAACACACGCGGGUUCGUGGCUCUGUUAGAUCAAAUAAGGCCAACCCUGGUGCUGCCCCACCCCUGCCAACUGUCAGUACUUAGCGGUAGCAUGCCAUGAAACUCACGCAUUUCGAAUCCACGCGGGUUGCUUUACGAUUCCACCACAUGUAUUUAUUUUAAUUCUUUGAUUGUUAUUACUAUAUUCGAGUUUAAUUCUACUUUUUUAUUAUUAUUACACAACUGCCGCCCCCGUCCGUCUCCUUUGGCCAAGAAAAGGGCCAACGAUCACCGACCGUCGUCGUUAUUUCCGAAAACGGAAUAGUUUACCGAAAAAACUUUUGCUUUUACGACUGUUUGAAGUUGUUGUUUCUUCUUUCUCAGCAGCUCCUCGUCCAAUGUGUUUACACUCGUUUUGGCGUUUUGUUUACGCUGCGCUUCCAGUCUCAAUCCACCCUCGCUCUCGUGCGGCGCGAUUAGAAUCCCGGCCAGUUCGACGCUCCGAAUCGGCCGUAUAUACGUUCGUUUAUGAAAUGUAAAUAUCGAAGUAAGUGCUUCGUUCGGCUCACUUUUCGAGAAUGUAAAUAUUUUGCUCGCGAGUCGCGACCAAAGCGCUACGAGUUGCGUUGCGUCGUGCGCGGCGACGGCGAGAUCGUUCAUUGCCCUCUCAGUUCAGCUCCGUACACACCGGUGCAGUGGACGCCGCGCAGCAACUGUCAAAUUGCUUUACAAUUGCGGCCGUCCAUUAUUUCCUUUUUUGUCCCCGCGCUUGAGAAACUCCGCUCGUCCGGAAUCGCAAAAGGAAACUCGGCAACAAUCGCCGCCGCCGCCGCCACAACCGCCGUGAAACACAAUGGGCAGAUUCCGAUUAAUACAUUUUAAUUUCUUUAUGUUUUUAUUAUCGAUUAUUAAUACCUUCCUAAAGAGCACACCGAGAGAUGCGGGGAUCCUGGCUGGAAGUCGCGGGACCUUCGAUCUUUCCUUUUGCGCUUUGUUCGACUGCCGCGCAGCAAUGGUGACUGCGACACAAUAAGACACAAUAUUCUUCACCAUGGGGUGUAGUCAGGGAGGGCAUAAGAUUUCUUUGGAUGUUUUCACAGAGUGAAUUUUUUGUUGAUGUCUUCCGAAAUUCUCUAACAAAGUUUGCUGUGAUUUUUUCUUGUAUCGUUUAUGAAUACCAAUGUAUUUUGAACUCUUCCAGAAUUUUUCUCACUUUCUGGUAAGGAUUGGCCGAUCUGACGUCUGGCAUGUGUGGUUUGAAAGUUAAUCGAUAACAUUGAUGAUCGAUCUUAUCGAUCAUCUACCAAACGACACCAGCCAAACGUCAUAAUUGGCUGAUCCCUAUCAGAAAGUUAGCAGAAUUCUGGUGACCAUUUACGCUAAAAAAAUGCUGGAUAACCGUAGCGUAAACAAAUGCAUUUGUCUUAGCGUGCGCGAAUGGCUUUAGAUUAACGUGCACCUGAAGGGCAAUACAGUAGACGUUCGGUCGGUGCAAACGGUUUAACUGCAAUGCUUUUUAACUGCAAGUCCGGUAAGUGCAACAAAUUUGCAGUUAUCGCACCGCCAAACGUCAAAAUGGUGCGCCAUGUUAGCCCUAAUGAACAGUCGAGUGAAUUUUUCGUUCAUUUUAUGUCAAUUGAUGGCUUGUUGACACUGUCAGGCGUUGCAGUUAUCGGAUUUCCGUUCGCUAAGUGAAACGUAAACAUGUUGCAGUUAUCGAACGUCUACUGUAGUCCAUUUUACGAGCCGAUUUUAUGAAUGAAUUUCGACAGGAGGUAGUGUCCAAUAACCCGUCAACAUUGUUGUCACUUCGUAAAAUGGCUCAUACACGCUUAAAUUCAGAAAUUGAUCUCGGUAAAUGGUUAACCGAGAAUCCAACAGCUGAUAUCUCGGUAAAAUAUUUACUGAUUCUCGGUAAAAAAAAAUUACCGAGAUUUCGGUAAACCAUUACCGAGUCUCGGUGAACUUUGCCGAGAUCUCGGUAAAAAGUUGGAUUACCGAGAUCUCGGCAAAGUUUUAACGACAUCUCGGUAAAACUUUUAACGAGAUUCAGUAAAAAUUAUUACCGGAUUCUCGUCAAUCCGUUUGCUGAGGUCGGCGAUUUAAUUUAAGUGUGUAGCUUAUAACUUUGACGCCCGACAGCGGGGAAUGCACAAUAAACGUCAGUCAUGUUGUCAUGUAUAGUUUAUUUCAUUGCUAACUGGACUGCGACAAAGUGUGGAAUCUUAAAUAAAAGUGCGAUAUUGCAUCAUCGAGCUAAUGAAUAAGUGCGAUGAAGACACCGAAACGAUCUGACACCAAAUCGCACUUUUAUUUGAGAUUCCGCACUUCCUCGUCGCACUUUUAACUGCGCAAUGCGCAAUAUAAUCAGUUGAUCCACGGUCUUAUUUUUCCGCUGGAUUGCUUCUCCUUUUCUUCUCUAAAUGCGGGCACUGUCUUGGGGCAAGACACUGUGCUGGAGAGUACAUUUUUCUUCACAGAGUUGCUCAGAAAUUCUCCGGAUUGCUCCCGUUUUUGUUUGGGUGUUGCCAGAUUCAUCGCAAAAUCAAAACAAUAUUGCCCUAUAUUCCGCUUUUCUUGCAGUUUUAGGGGUGCUUUCCGACAAAUUUCGUCGAUCAUUGGUAAAAAGAGUUACUCAGAAUUUCUCAGAGUUACUCUCGUUUGCACAGUGUCUUGCCCCUAGGGCAAUGACAUAUUCAUGAACAUUUAGCGAUUGAAAGUUCACUGGAUGUUCACCGGAUCUCGCCGGAUGCAAGAUGUGAGCAGUGAUUUUGAUAAACAAGACCCGCAGUUACCGUUUCACAGCAUGCUGUCAGUUGGCGUGUGACGUCAUCGUGGACAAGUUCAUGGGUUUAGUGAACAAUGUUGUGACCAGAGGGAGGGGUGCGACACUAGUUUACCCAAGUUGAAAUAUUUAAAAAAAUCCGAAAAAAGACGAAAAACCGGUAAAAGUUUCUGGAAAAAAAUCAUGAAGUUCUCCGACCUCCUUCGUUUCUAACCCUAGCUACACCCCUUCAUUGCCGAUGCUUCCGAUCCGAUCGAACCGCCCGGGUGAAAAGUAAACAAUUGUAUCAAUGACAGUUUACGACUGUAACGAAAAAGGCAAAAAAGCAAAAACUGCGAACGGAAAGAAAGGCACAGUCGCCUCCUCUCCGGAGUCGUUUCCUUUUCUCUUCAUUUGAAAUGCAGAGGACCCCUGCUGCCAGGAGGUCCCUCUUGCCCUCUUGCACAAUUUGCUCACUGUGUGUUGUUAUUUGUUCUUGUUUUCGGGUCUCCGGGGUCAUUGCUACUGGUUUUGUUUGUUUUUGGGAUUUGUCGCUUUGUAUUCUCCUCUCCCUCAAGUGGGUCGUUAACCUUCUUUUUGUCCACUUUUGAAGUGCUGAGGAUGAUUGAGAAGGAAACUAUAAAUCACGGACCAACGACGCAACGGACGCCCAUAAAUUUAUCGAUUUUUGACCUCGGUUUGGCAGGUAGAUGUGAUAUUUUGCACGACGCAAAAGCAUAAAUUUUGUGGCGACUCGUUUCCAUACGCUCGGGCUCUCUCCAGGGAGGAACCAGUUCCUCGGCGACGACGACGAUCGCACGCGCGUGUCAUUGCGAUCUUUUGAGGUUAGGAAGAAGCAGGUUUCCGUCCGUCCCGCCCUGCUGCGAAACAGGUUUAUGAUUUGUGUUGUCCCCACGGCGAGAGAAUCUCUGCCGGUUGCUGCCGCCGUAGGUUGAGCUGUUUUCUUAUACUUUUCGCGCAGACAGGGGAGUGGUUUAUUUACAUUUUUAUUACCGAUUGUCAGAAGCUUCGGAAAGUACGUUGACGCCUCAACGUGGAGCUUUGUUAAGCGAAAACAAUUUCCGAGCUAUGAAUAUCUAAGCGUGACGCGAAGAUCUCCAGCUCGUUUUAAUUGACAGAUUGACAGAUCGACAGUUGACAGAUUGACAGAGACGGGAAUCACUCAUACUGCAUUGUUUUGUACUUACCCCGAAUGCGAAUCCAACGAUUUUCACUCAAUCACCGAGCACCAAUUAACCCCUCUUCGAGAGCAAACACAGAACAAAACAACGAGGAAGUUCCGAACCCGUACAAAUUCCUCCGCAUAGUCGAAACUUUUCACACAUCAAUCACCGCAGCAGCAGCAGCUGCUGUCACUGUUUUGCGGCAUCACCGUUGACAGCUGGGAAACCUCAAAACAACCACAACAACAACUUCGACAUCGACAAUGACGUCGACUAGUAUGAUGCGGGACAGCUUCUUCAACGCUUGCUGCGUGUGUGUUCUAGGAAUUUCUAGAUUCUAGGUCUUCCCACACACAAAUCACUGUUUCGUACGAGCAGCAGCAGCAAGUGAAGGGUAUCGAUUUCAUCCCGAAGGGCAGCUGUCUGCGCGAAAGGAUGACUUCCUCUCUGGAUGAAAGGUGACACCGCACACAACCACACUCGCUUGUUCGUUCGAUAUUGUCACUUGCCCCGAAAAUUUCCUACCGUACUUCUCACGACGUUUUUUUGGAAGACGAAGAAUGGAGGAACCUUACGUCAAGAGGGAUCAUUUAACCCGACGAAAAAAAACCUGUCCAAUAAAUUUUUAUUGCCUUAAUCCAUUCUCCGAUUGGUUCCUUCGGUUCUCGCUCGGGAUCGGGAUCCCUCGCUCCAGCCAACUGAAUUUACGAGCCUUUCCCAAACUAUAAAAUAUUUAAAUUUACUCUCGCCGUGUCCAGAUAAACCGACCCGAAGAUCUCUAAUCGGUUACCUCACGUCAUUAAAAUUCAAUAACACGAACGAACUCCAGCCAGGCCAGACCAACUUUUCGAGGCCCGAGCCCGCUGGUGAUUAGGGCUCUAGAACUCGUAGAAAAUGGGAAAAGGAAACUGAUAAUCUCCCAACGACGACGGUGUCGCCGUCACCGUCGUGGAGAAAGCCCUCUCCACACACACGGACACGCAACCGAGCGCGGACGGAACGGAAGAUAUAUUGGCCGGGACUAAUUUGAAUUUAGCUGAUGCCCGUCCGUACUCUCCAACUCUUAAAUUGCCGCGCGCAAUCAAUUUCGAACAAAUUUUGAAUAAUAAAAGAAACUUUGGAGAAGUAGAAAAAAACCGGGAAUUUUCAUCCGAGUAGGCUUGCGGAGCGUCACGCAACCCCGACCGACGCGACCGACAACAAUAACAAAGCGAACGAGGGGCUUUCCACGCAUCGAAAUGCUUUCUCCGUCGUGUUUCGUGUCGUUCGUGGAUGAGAUAAAAGGCCCUAUAACAAAGCAACCCAUAAAUUAUAGGCUAAACACUGUGCUCCGCGCUCUUUCUAGCGGUUAGCUCGGUAAUGACUGCGCUGGCUGACCAACGAACGGAUCUGAUCGACCAUUCCGAUGCGUGAAAUGCGAUAGCCCCCUCGUUUUGACAAAUCACGCGUCGUCGUCCCCUCGGUUUCGCUGUCACAUCGAUGACAUUGACGGUCAUCGUUGUCAAACCGCAAAAAUUUAAACAAGAGUGUCCUCCUGAUUUGACAUGCGAUGCGACGGCGGAAUCGAUUUCAACCGGUCGUCGGUCCGAGUUCGGGUCGUCGAUGUUGACCGAACAGAUUACCCCGUCCCCAACUUUGAUGGCAUCCAUGCCCUGGAAAGUAGGGGUGGGAUAAGUCCAUCAAGCAUCAAGCAGCAUCGCUGGGCUAAUCCGAAUGGAAUUGCUUUUCGCGUUUGGCCUCGUUACCUUGCGAUGGCUGGUGCUAUUGACGAACUGCGUCGUUUUUUGUUGUUGUUUGACUUCCGUCUCUACGACUACGACGGGUUUUGACCUUUCUGGGUUAGGGAUUAAAGACGGUUUCGGUGGACAUCAGGAGGAAAUCGAUUUUCUUGCGAAGUGUGGAGGCAGUGCAGCAGUGGUCAGGGUUGGAUACGGUGUUUGAAGUGGAUGGAAGUAUCUAGGUUAAUCGGUAUUUGAUAGGAAGUUCGUCGUGGAAAAUGAGGUUAUUAAACAGAGCUAAAAUCUUAAAGAUGUUUCUGGAAUCUGAAUUUUAUUUCAUCAUCCAGACUUACGGAAUGUGAGCAACAAUUAUUAAAUACAAGAGAAAAGUCGGAAGCUCGGUUUUACCGAACUUUUGGAUUUCUUAGACCUCCCAAAGAAUUCGUCGAGCUCUUUUGAGAAUUCUUGGAAAUGCUUUUGUCAAAGACUGACGUCAAGUUCGAUAUUGUUGUAAAAACGCAGACGUUUCCGGUUCGUGCAUUUGAACACCCCUCGUAAUCGGGACAACUUUCAUGCCAAUAGAUGCACCAUGAACCACCGUGAACUCAGAAGUUUGCGCUGAAUCUUCUAAAUCUAUGUUACGACAAGGCAAGUACUCAGACGGUUCUGCUGAGUCUUUUGAGUAUUGUUCUGCCGUGACAUCCGGAACUACAACAAGGAGGCACUAAAUCAGAAACGAAAGGAAAGAAGACGUCUGUCGUUCUGUAGGAAUCCUGUACGAUCUGAGCUCAUCUUCCGUUGAGAAUUUCUCGUAGGUUAGGGAACUGACAGAACCUCAGUGUUUUCUUGAGUCUUGGUAGAGCUUCCUGUUGAAAUCCAGAUACUUCCGAUGAUAUUUGCGGCAGUAUAUUGCAAGUCCCGUGUUAACAUUUAGGUUUCUACCAAACUCUUGGAUCUCGUCUGUACCUGAUCUGGAACCUUAAGGUUAUUGUCGAAAACCCAAAAAAAUCGUCAUGGUUUCCUGAGAAUUCUUGGGAAUACUUAUGUGAGCGUCGGAAUCUCGUGCAUUCUAAUACCCCUCGUAAUCGAGACAACUAUCAUGUCAAUCAAUACACCGUGUACCACGGUGAACCCAAAAGUUUCCUUUGAAUCUUCUAAAUGGAGACGACAAGUUACAAUAAGAGAUCAUACUUCUAUUAGCUGUUAGUACUUGUGAGAUGUGAGCUUAGGUAAACACGUUUAUAGUUUCCUUCCCCUCGCAAGUAUCAGUAACUUUCUGAAGUCCGAAUUAUGCGCAUGGUUCCUACCAUUCCGCAUAAGACUGUCGCGUUUAGUAGUAAGGCUCAGUGGAGGAUUCCUGUUUUUACUUUGAAGACUGUCAGGAAGGUCACCAUUGUCACGCAACUACUGUAGAAAUCCAGCCGUAAGUAUUACCAAUGUUUUUUUCUGGAAAUUCUCACGAGAACUUCGUAUAAAUUUCAAACAGAGCUACGCAAUUUUUUUUCGAAGAUUUGUUCAAGAAAGCCUGUUAAAAUUUCUCCUGUAGUUCCUCGGGAAUACCUCCAGAAGUUGCACGGGAAAUCCUUUAGGAUUUCAUCAGGAAUUUCUCUAGGAAUUCAUUCAAGAGUUUCUCGGAAAUUCUUUCAGGUGUUCCUCGGAAAUUCUUCCAUAAGCUCCUCACAAAUUCCGCCUGGAGUUCCUCGGAAAUUCUUCCAGAAGCUUGCCGAGAAAUUAUUUAGGGGACCGUCGGGAAUUCCUUCCGGAGUUUCUUCGGAAUUCCUCUAGAAGAUCUUCAGCAAUUCCUCAAGGAGUUCCUAGAAAAUUCCUCAAGGAGUUCCUCGAGAACUCCUACUGGAGUUCCUCAACUUGAGAACUCCUACUGGAGUUCCUCAACUUGAGAACUUCUACUGAAGGAUUCCUCCUGGAGUUUCUCGGAAACUCCUUCUGAAGUUCGUCAGACAUUCAUCCAGGAGUUCUUCGGAAACUUCUCCAGGAGAUCUUCAAGAAGUCUUUUAGGAGUUCCUCAGGGGUUCCUUGGAAAUUCCUCCAGAAGUUUCUCGGGAACUCCUCCAGGAGUUUGACGAGCAUUUCUUCAAAAGUGCCUAGUAAUCUCCUCUAGGAUAUCCUCUGGAAUUCCGCCAGGAGUUCCUAGGAAAUUCCUCCAGAAGCUCCUCUAUAAAUCUUCCAGGAGUUCCUCGGGAAUUUCUCCAGAAGUUCUUCAUGAAUUCCUCCACGAGUUUCUCGGAUAUUCUUCCAAGAGUUCCUCGGAAAUUUCUCUACGAGUUCCUCGGAGAUUCUUUCAGAAAUUCUUCAGAAAUCUCUUCAAAAGAUUCUCGCGUAUACCUCUAGGAGCUCCUCGCAAACUCCACCAGGAUUUUACAGAGAAUGUCUUCAGGAGUUCCUCGGGAAUUCCCCCUGAAGCUCUUCGAGAACUCCUCCAGGAGUUUAUCGGGAAUUCCUCUUGGAGUUCUCCGUGAACUUCUCCACAACUUCUUCUGGAAUUCAUCCAACAUUUCCUCGGGUAUUCUUCCAGGAGUUCCUUGGGAAUUUCUUCACCGGUUCCGCGGAGGUUCUUCCAAGAGUUGCUCGGAAACCUCUGCAAGAGUAUCUCGGCUAUAUCUCUAGAAGUCCCUAGGAAAUUCCUCCAUGUAUUCCUCGGAAUUCCUCCAGGACUUCCUCGAGAAUUCUUCCAGGAGUUCCUCGAAAGUUCCUCCUGAAACUCCUCGGGAAUUACUAUAGGGGUUUUUCAGGAAUUCCUCCAGGAGAUCCACAAGAACUCCUUCAAGAGUUCAUCGACAAUUCCUUUAGGAGUUUCUCAGGAGUUCCUAUAGGGGUUCUUCGGAAUUUUUCUAGGAGUUCCUCGGGAAUUAUUUUAGGAGUUCCUCGGGAAUUUCUCCAUAAUUUUCCCAAAAAAUCUCCAGGAGGUACACGGAGGAAUUUUUGGAUUUCUUUGAAGACCUCGUGGAAAUAAAUACGAGGAACUUCUUUAGGAGUUUCCGGAAAAAACAUGGAGAAAACUAUCUGGAGAGAACCAUGCAUUAUUGCUGAAGGAGUUUUUGAUGAGCUUCUGAAUUAAAUUUCAUGGAAAUUCUGCAUGAAAUUUUCCAGGAAAAUCCUGGAGAAAUACUCGGACUCUUGAAAAAAUUGAAAUGAAACUCCUGAAGGAAUUUUCUAGUAUCUCCAAGGAGGACUUCUAUAGAAAUUUCUUGCAAACUCCUACAGGAAUUCAUGAUGAAGAGAUGACGGAAUUUCUGAGGAUCUCUUAGACGAAUUCCCAUAGAUUUCCUGCAGGAAUUCCCGUAGAUCUCCUGGAGGAAUAUCCAAGGAACUUCUCCGAAGAACUCCUGGAGGAAUAUCCAAGGAACUUCUCCGAAGAACUCCUGGAGGAAUAUCCAAGGAACUUCUGGAGGAAUUCCUGAGGAAAUUUUGGAGGAAUGUCUAAAAAAUUCCCGAGGAACUGCUAGAGGAUUUCCCGAAGAUCUCCUGGAGGAAUUCCCAAGACACUUCUGGAAGAGUUCAUUUAAAACUCCUAGUAGAAGAUCCCAAGAACUUUUGGAAGAAUUCUCGAGGAUCUCCUGGAGAAUUCCCGAGAUACUACUAGAGGAAUUUCCGAGAACCUACUGUAGGAGUUCUUAACUAUCUUCCGGAGGAAUUCCCGAAGAACUCUUUGAGGAAUUGCCGAUGAAUUCCCGAGGAUCUUCUGGAGGAAUUUCCGGAUUUUUCUUGUGGAUCUCUUAGAAAUUAAUCUGGGGACUUAGACUUCUGAAGUAAAUUUCGUGAAAAUUCUGAAUGGGAAUUCCGGAUAAUUUAUGUAGGAAUUUCCUGGGAGCUCCAAGAUACACUCUCGGGGAAUUCUGUAGAAAUUGCCUUGAAACUCCUGCAGGAUUUUUUGAAGAACUGAUGGAGGAAUUCCCGAGGAUCUCCUGUAGGAAGUCCCGCAAAUCACUCAGAGGAAUUCCCAAGGAGGAAUUCUCGAGGAAGUCCAGGAGGAAUUCCCAAGGAUCUCCUGGAGCAAUAUCCGAAGAACUCCUGGAGGAAUUCCUGUGGAACUCCUGGACGAUUUCCCGAGGAAGUCCUGCGGGAAUUCCCAAAGCACUGCUGAAAUUCCCGUGGAUUUCCGAGGAUUUCCUGUAGGAAGUCCCGCGUAUCUCUCAGAGGAAUUCUCAUAGAUCUCCUGGAGGAAUUCUCGAAGAAGUCCAGGAGGAAUUCCGAAAGAUCUACUGGAAGAAUUCCCGUCAUGCACCUGGAGAAGUUCCUUCAAAAUUCCUUGAAGAAUUCCCGAGGAUCUCCUGGAGAAAUUCCCGAGGAACUUUUAGAGGAAUUUCUGAGGAACUCUUGAAGGAAUUUAUAACUCCUGGAUGAAUUCCCGAGCAUCUUCUGAAAGAAAUUUUGUGGAACUCUUGGAAAUAAAUCCGAGGAACUUCUUGAGGAAUUUCGGUGAAAACCGGGAAAUAUUCAAGAGAAAUCCUGAGAGAUCCAUGCAUUGUGAAUUUAAUGGAAGUUCUGGAAGGAAUUUUCGGAUAGUUUAUGUACUUAUUUCCAGUCAAAUCAUGGAACAAUUCCUUGGAUAUUCCUGUAAGAAUUCUACCACCAAUGCUGCAGGAAUUCUUCGGUUCUUAAAGAAUUUCCAUGGUAUUCGUGGGGAAGCCAGGGAGGGAUUCCUGGAAAACUUUUAGAGAAAUUCUCGGAGACUCCUGGAGAAAUUUACCUGGAAACUUAGGAAGCAUUUCCGAUGAGGUAUCUGAAAUAGUUCGCAAGCUUCCACGAGGUUCCUGGACUGAAGUGUUCGGUGUUCUGUCUGAGUAACAUCCGGAACUUCGAACUAAAGCUGGAGUUCUGAAGUUUCCGCUCAUAUUUUCGCCUGGUUCUUUAAUUUCUACAGGGACUAAUGAGAAACACUGCGAUCCAAAAGCUCCGUUGAGGUUUGCUAUGACUGAGUUUGGCUGUGAUCACCGGAGUCACGAUGCUAAUGUAGGAAACUGGACGUUUCCGAUGAGGUAUGCGACGAAGUGAUAGAUGUUCCACUAUGCAACUCUCAGAUAUUCGAAGGUUCUUUCAGCAAUCCAAAGGUUUUCGUUGAGGUGUUUGCCAAAAUCUUGUUCGUACGGACGAACCUAUGCAGUCUUGGGAGCUGUCAGAACCUCAAGUUUUCCUUAAGAAUCCUCAAAUCUCCCUUUUACGACAUCCGGAAUCAACUUGAAAGUAGGUACUACUUUUCCAGUAGUUACGUCGAACUUGCUUCAGGUAGCCAGAAGUUUCCAUCGUGGUUCCCGCUCUGUUCAUAUUUCUGGCCGGUUCUAGGAUUUAUUGUGGGACGUUCCAAAAAUGUGAGGAUUUUCUUCUGUAAAUGCUCAAAACUGGGAAUUUGGGAAGAAGUUUGAAAACUUCAGUUCCUAUUUGCACCAGAAAAUCCUGUAAUAUUCCAGAAGAUUUUUUUUUGAGAUUUUUACAAAAAUCUUUGUUCAUAUCCGUCUAUAACUUGGAAACACUGCUCUUUACUCAGCAACUUCGAAGUUACUGCAGGUUUCCAUCGAGGUUCCCGUACUGUUGAAGCUUCCGGAACCUCGAACUUCAGCAGGAAUUCUGAAGUUUCUGUUGAUAUUUUUCUCUGACAUUUGGAUAUAUUCUGGCAAUUGAAUAAUCAGAGAAGUUUCUACUGAGCAACCGGCAAUUCAAAAUUCUGGAGAAAGUUUCCUGAUGUCGAUAGGUUGCUGCACUCAGCCGGAAGUAUCCGACGAGGUUUUUGCUCUGUUCAAACUUUCAGAACCAUGAACUCAACCAGGAAUUCUGAAAUUUCCGUUCAUGUUCCUGUCCGGCUCUUAGAUUAAUUUUGGACAUUCGAAUUUGAGAGGAUUUUCUGCUGAAGCUGCUCGAAACAGGGAAUUCUGGAAGAAGUUGUUACAAGUGUUAUUUUAACUGGUAAACAUGUUCCUUAAUAUAAUGUACAUUUAUAGUGCUCUGGAGUAAAAGAACACCAUGGGAUCUGAGCAAUCUCAUUUGUGAUAGCAUACAUUCAGGCCAUUUCGGGCAAAAAUCAUCUAUCAAAUAAGUGAAUCGUUCCCUAACAGGAACAUCAGAAUGUUAACGUCUCGUAUUGAAAGCUGAAUCAAGGUGCCCCCUUAGGAUUAGAAUUUCCUAGACAAUGCAAGCUAUGAAAGGCAACCAGCCAUAUAAAAUACUUUUACAGGAUUGAGUGAUGGACCAACAAAAUUUCUGAAACCUCGUCAUCCUGGCAUCGGAAAUGGUUAUCCAAUAGGGUAAUAGAGCAACAUUUAUGUUUUCUGUUGUAAUUGUCCAAUUGUGAUGUCCUAAUUUAUUACGCAUUUGUAAGGUUCCACUAUAAUAUGUUAUAUUUUAAUGUGCAUUUGUAGUGCUCCAUCGUUUUACCAUUAUAAUGGCGCACAACGUGGGGCGGGUUUUGUAGGUGUCCAUGUUCUAUUCUGUUCGAUUUGGAAUUGUAGCCUACGUACAGUUUUGUACACUAACAUUUUACAACAACAACGCUUUCUAACGACGGUGGAGUCGUUUUAGCGAACUCACAGUACGCCACAGUCUGUUUUCGUAGCGUAUUAUUUCGUUUCCCGGUAAACGCUGGGCCCGUAUGGAAACUUUAUUGACAAUAAAUACAUUUAAUAUUACACAUUUUACAACAACAACGCUUUCUAACGACGGUGGAGUCGUUUUAGCGAA